UACGUAGGUGGCAAGCGUUGUCCGGAAUUAUUGGGCGUAAAGCGCGCGCAGGCGGCCUUUUAAGUCUGAUGUGAAAGCCCACGGCUUAACCGUGGAAGGUCAUUGGAAACUGGAAGGCUUGAGUACAGAAGAGGAAAGCGGAAUUCCACGUGUAGCGGUGAAAUGCGUAGAGGAUGUGGAGGAACACCAGUGGCGAAGGCGGCUUCGUGGUCUG
rnacentral:rRNA from 1 species